CAGGUGCCAGAAAUGUGCCGGAGCCCCUGAGCUCUGAAAUCCACCCUUGUUUGUAGCUGUGUGGCUGCCUACUGCCACACGUGUCCAGGUGAAGGAAAUAAGCCUUAUCCCAGGGCCAGCACCGCGGGCGACUUCCGGACUCCUGACUGUGCACCCUACCUGCAACCCUCACCUUCCUUUGCUUCCUCCAUACUCGGGCUCUCCAAUGAGAAGGAGCAGGGCAGCAGACAGCAAGUUUCACAGAGGGGAGAGACAAAAAUGCUUUAAUGUCAUACGAGCUUUGGGAGAACUUCCUUGGGAUAGUACGACCAGAAUGGCUGUAGCUAAGAAGAGAAUCACACACAAAGCCUUAACCACUCUGCUCAGAGGAGACUGGAGCCUUCCAAAUAUUUUGGAUGGCUGUUGCCCAGGUGGCCCUGAAUCAGGCUGUCUGCUGAGAAUCUUUGACUAAGAACUUGAAAAGACAGUCCCAAUCCUGGAUCACACAAACUCCUAAUUAUUUAGAACUUUGGAAGCAGUGGCUAUCAUGUAUGUAUAAACAAUAAUACCUAAGGAGGGGAUGAAGAAGUGAGGAAUUUGUGAUUAUUUGAAUUGCAUAAGAGACAUUUGAGGGAGUAGACUAAUAUUUCACAAUAGACAAAGGUAUACUUUUCAUUCGAGUUUGGUACUAACGAUGUUCUCUAUUUUUUCUGGAAACAAAAUAAGAGACAAUUUUGAGAGGAAUGGUCUAGGUUCAAUAUGAAGAAUAAAUUCCUGGAAGAGAAAAUGACAACGCUUAGGAACAGAUUACCAAGUAAAGUUAUGACUUAAAAAAAAUGACUCACCUCUGUGGAUUAAGUUGUAUUUUUACUACAGGCAUGACUACAUGAUACUCAAAAACAUUCAGUAGGGAAAAAAAGUUAGUUAAAUUGUUUACUAGCAUGUAGUUUUAAAAUGGAAAAGAAUUUUUUUUUUUUUUUUGCUUUUGAACUAUUCGAAGAGAAAAUUAGGAUCUACCUCACUUUUUCCAAAUGUCUGUGUGGUGACAUCAAUGGCACUUUGCAAAGCAACGUGUAUUCAAAUUUUAGGUUUUUUUCACUUCUGUUGGCUAACUUCUGAGUUGGAAGACGAAGCAGAGGUCAUCUGAGUUGAGUCUCCUGCUGCCCCUUCCUGCUUUUGGCUUAAGGAUCCUGCUUCUCAGACUAAAAAGUACAGUUCUUUCCAGUCCAUGUGCUAAGCUUAUGUGAGUAAGGAUUAGCAAUGAGCCUGGCUCUGACAGCAACACAGAUAAAUCAACAUUUAAACCUUUGGAAAGCCAUUAAAUAUGUGAUGCUCCCUUGUUGAUUAAAAUGGUUCCUUCAUUCCAGGAUGGAUAAAA